UACGUAGGGUGCGAGCGUUGUCCGGAAUUAUUGGGCGUAAAGAGCUCGUAGGCGGUGUGUCACGUCGGCCGUGAAAACCUGCAGCUUAACUGUGGGCGUGCGGUCGAUACGGGCAUCACUGGAGUUCGGCAGGGGAGACUGGAAUUCCUGGUGUAGCGGUGAAAUGCGUAGAUAUCAGGAGGAACACCGGUGGUGUAGACGGCUCACUGGACCGUAACUGACGCUGAGACACGAAAGCGUGGGUAGCAAACAGG
rnacentral:rRNA from 1 species